rnacentral:rRNA from 1 species
GAUGAACGCUGGCGGCGUGCCUAAUACAUGCAAGUCGAGCGAAUGGAUUAAGAGCUUGCUCUUAUGAAGUUAGCGGCGGACGGGUGAGUAACACGUGGGUAACCUGCCCAUAAGACUGGGAUAACUCCGGGAAACCGGGGCUAAUACCGGAUAACAUUUUGAACCGCAUGGUUCGAAAUUGAAAGGCGGCUUCGGCUGUCACUUAUGGAUGGACCCGCGUCGCAUUAGCUAGUUGGUGAGGUAACGGCUCACCAAGGCAACGAUGCGUAGCCGACCUGAGAGGGUGAUCGGCCACACUGGGACUGAGACACGGCCCAGACUCCUACGGGAGGCAGCAGUAGGGAAUCUUCCGCAAUGGACGAAAGUCUGACGGAGCAACGCCGCGUGAGUGAUGAAGGCUUUCGGGUCGUAAAACUCUGUUGUUAGGGAAGAACAAGUGCUAGUUGAAUAAGCUGGCACCUUGACGGUACCUGGAGAAUAAGAGGUUGCUAACUCUGUGCCAGCCGCCGCCGUAA